CGCUCGACCCAUGUCGGACUGGGACCUGCGCGACAUAGAGUUGUUAAGUUUCUCAUUGGGGGCCAAUUAAAGCGAAUCCUUGCGUCGACCCCACCCAGUGCCAAGGUUUUGGACGCAGUAGGCGUGGACUAUUUGGAAGGUGUAUCCAGAUCGCAGAAGUCAGACUAACCCAAAGUAGCGCACACAUGGAAGCUUUCACGAUCGUCAUCAGGGUGGAAAUGACCGGACCAAGGUGCAGCGUGGGCCAGGAAUGUCAAGGACUUCACUGUUCGGGCUGGCACUUAUGUCCCCCCGAAAAUAAAUGAUGGACGACUGGACGAGGUGACCGGUUUCUACCCCUGCCGUAGUUGUUCAGUAUGUAAGGUCUCCUGUAAAAAAAAGAAAACCGUUACAGGGACUCCCAAUCAUGGCCGGAUGUGAUACAGAAAUAAAAGUCUAGACAUGCACAAUGAGACCAUAACUCCUCCUAGCAAUAACAAAACAUCUACAUGUCAUUCAAAUUGUCACAUGAAACAUGGAUUUUACUUGUUUACUUGUCAUGCCUAGUAGCCAAGUCUAUUUGCGCUUUAGUCAUUUUCCCUAUCAUUUAGCCAUGCUAAACAUUCCUGAAGAAUGAAAAAUAUACAGAAUUCCUAUACAUUUGUUUAAAUAGCUGAUAUAAUACAAUGGGUUCUGUCAAGAACAUCAUUGACAAUAAUGAAAUUCAUAUAAAUCAGUAA